rnacentral:rRNA from 1 species
AGAUUGAACGCUGGCGGCAGGCCUAACACAUGCAAGUCGAGCGGUAGAGAGGUGCUUGCAUCUCUUGAGAGCGGCGGACGGGUGAGUAAUGCCUAGGAAUCUGCCUAGUGGUGGGGGAUAACGUUCGGAAACGGACGCUAAUACCGCAUACGUCCUACGGGAGAAAGCGGGGGACCUUCGGGCCUCGCGCCAUUAGAUGAGCCUACGUCGGAUUAGCUAGUUGGUGAGGUAAUGGCUCACCAAGGCGACGAUCCGUAACUGGUCUGAGAGGAUGAUCAGUCACACCGGAACUGAGACACGGUCCGGACUCCUACGGGAGGCAGCAGUGGGGGAAUAUUGGACAAUGGGCGCAAGCCUGAUCCAGCAAUGCCGCGUGUGUGAAGAAGGCCUGGUUGUAAG